rnacentral:rRNA from 1 species
AUUGAACGCUGGCGGCAUGCCUUACACAUGCAAGUCGAACGGUAGAGGGGGCAACCCCUUGAGAGUGGCGAACGGGUGAGUAAUGCAUCGGAACGUGCCCAGUUGUGGGGGAUAACGUAGCGAAAGCUACGCUAAUACCGCAUACGACCUGAGGGUGAAAGCGGGGGACUCGAAAGAGCCUCGCGCGAUUGGAGCGGCCGAUGUCAGAUUAGCUAGUUGGUGGGGUAAAGGCCCACCAAGGCGACGAUCUGUAGCUGGUCUGAGAGGACGACCAUCCACACUGGGACUGAGACACGGCCCAGACUCCUACGGGAGGCAGCAGUGGGGAAUUUUGGACAAUGGACGAAAGUCUGAUCCAGCCAUGCCGCGUGCGGGAAGAAGGCCUUCGGGUUGUAAACCGCUUUUGUCAGGGAAGAAAUCUUCUGGGUUAAUACCUCGGGAGGAUGACGGUACCUGAAGAAUAAGCACCGGCUAACUACGUGCCAGCAGCCGCAGUAACAC